rnacentral:lncRNA from 1 species
UGUCCAGAAUGCUGCUGGCAUGGACAAGGAGACAAAUUGCUCCGCAUACCUUUACUAUGUGCAAACCACUGUUAUUUUUUGCCCUGUUCCUGUAAAAUCUAAUGUUUUGAUUUAUUUGAGAAUAAAUAUACAUGCAGUCAUGUGCCAGCUAGCAGAUUUAUCAAAUUAAAAAUUGUGAUCUGAUGAACUCCAAAAUGAACUUUUAUAUUUCUCCAUUUUCCUCUCUUUUUUCUCCUUAUGGAUGCAUUAUAUUACAAAGCAA